CCCUUGCUAGCUGAGUUGGUUGAGCGCUCCACUGGAAAUGGAGAGGUCCCGGGUUCGAUACCCGGACCAGGCG
rnacentral:tRNA from 1 species